UGUUAAGAUGCUGUCUCCAGAAAGCACAUGUUAAAGGACCUAUAUUUGAUCAGAUUACCUGGCUCUUGCUUUGAAACACUGAUGAAGGACUUGGGACAGAACAAAGUGAGUGGAGGACACUUCAAUCUAAAGUGAUCUUAAAGGAGGAGUAGUAGGAUUUGAAGAUGAAGAAAGAAGAGGGGAGGUAAAUUACUUUCCAUCACUUCAAUUUCAACCCAUCAGAUAAAACCUCUCUUUAGUAAACCUGCAUGUGGGUGGAGCUGUAACAGCAAUUAAGGACAGUGUGACUCUGUUCUUCUGACUUUGGGAAAACCAGUUUGGCUGGAACAAAAAGCUGAUAGAGAAGACUAAUGGAAGAUAAGGUUGAAAAGCUCUCUUUCAGUUCUCUACAUCUGGG
rnacentral:lncRNA from 1 species